GCCCACUGAGAAGCAUCCCAGCAACCCCACCACGGCCGGUCUUCCCCGGACACCAUGAACCACACUGUCCAAACCUUCUUCACUCCCGCCAGCACCCACUUUCCCCCAAACUGUGAGAUGCUGAAGGAGGAACAUGAGGUGCCUGCGCUGGGGGCGCCCCACAACCCUGCGCCCCCAACAUCCAUCGUGAUCCACAUCUGAAGCGAGGCCUCCGUGCCGGACCACGUCGUCUGGUGCCUGUUCAACACCCUCUUCAUGAACUCCUGCUGCCUGGGCUUCAUAGCGUUCGCCUACUCCGUGAAGUCUAGGGACAGGAAGAUGGUUGGCGACCUGACCGGGGCCCAGGCCUAUGCCUCCACCGCCAAGUGCCUGAACAUCUGGGCCCUGAUUUUGGGCAUCAUCAUGACCAUUCUGCUGAUCAUCAUCCCAAUACUGAUUCUGCAAGUCUAUCAGUAGAUCCAGAGGAAUCGCCCGGGCCAGGGGCUCGGCCCCUGACCUGUCUCCCAUGUACUCCAGCUUCCAUUCCUCGCCCUGCCCCCAGCCCAUCCUGUAUCAGCCCUUUACCCUCACACACUUUUCUACAGUCGAGUUCAAUAAAGUGCACGUGCUCCUGGAAAAAAAAAAAAAAAAAAAA